rnacentral:lncRNA from 1 species
UUGAACAGGCCCACUUGCUAAACUCUGAGCUGAUUUUUGGCCCUGCCUUUGAGACUGGCUUGAUCUAGCAGGUUGAAAACUUUUAUGUCUCUUACUAGAGCCCUGUGAAGCUAUCAUCUGUUCUUGACUCUGAUUCUGACUGUGAGUCCUUUUUUGCUGACUCCUCUGUCUUCUACUCUGGUCUUCUUCCCUCACUUUCUCUACAUUUAAAUCUGCAUUCACCAGUG